GACGAACGCUGGCGGCGUGCUUAACACAUGCAAGUCGAACGGAAAGGCCCUGCUUUUGUGGGGUGCUCGAGUGGCGAACGGGUGAGUAACACGUGAGUAACCUGCCCUUGACUUUGGGAUAACUUCAGGAAACUGGGGCUAAUACCGGAUAGGAGCUCCUGCUGCAUGGUGGGGGUUGGAAAGUUUCGGCGGUUGGGGAUGGACUCGCGGCUUAUCAGCUUGUUGGUGGGGUAGUGGCUUACCAAGGCUUUGACGGGUAGCCGGCCUGAGAGGGUGACCGGCCACAUUGGGACUGAGAUACGGCCCAGACUGCUACGGGAGGCAGCAGUGGGGAAUAUUGCACAAUGGGCGGAAGCCUGAUGCAGCAACGCAGCGUGCGGGAUGACGGCCUUCGGGUUGUAAACCGCUUUCGCAUGUGACGAAGCGUGAGUGACGGUAAUGGGUAAAGAAGCACCGGCUAACUACGUG
rnacentral:rRNA from 1 species